rnacentral:rRNA from 1 species
UACGGGGGUGGCAAGCGUUGUUCGGAAUUACUGGGCGUAAAGGGCGCGUAGGCGGUGCUCUAAGUCGGAUGUGAAAACUCUGGGCUCAACCCAGAGCCUGCAUCCGAAACUGGAGUGCUAGAGUUCUGGAGGGGGUAGCGGAAUUCCUGGUGUAGCGGUGAAAUGCGUAGAUAUCAGGAGGAACACCGGUGGCGAAGGCGGCUACCUGGACAGAAACUGACGCUGAGGCGCGAAAGCUAGGGGAGCAAACAGG